rnacentral:rRNA from 1 species
AACGAACGCUGGCGGCAUGCCUAACACAUGCAAGUCGAACGAGACCUUCGGGUCUAGUGGCGCACGGGUGCGUAACGCGUGGGAACCUGCCCUUAGGUUCGGAAUAACUCCCCGAAAGGGGUGCUAAUACCGGAUAAUGUCUUCGGACCAAAGAUUUAUCGCCUUUGGAUGGGCCCGCGUUGGAUUAGCUAGUUGGUAGGGUAAAAGCCUACCAAGGCGACGAUCCAUAGCUGGUCUGAGAGGAUGAUCAGCCACACUGGGACUGAGACACGGCCCAGACUCCUACGGGAGGCAGCAGUGGGGAAUAUUGGACAAUGGGCGAAAGCCUGAUCCAGCAAUGCCGCGUGAGUGAUGAGGGCCUUAGGGUUGUAAAGCUCUUUUACCCGUGAUGAUAAUGACAGUACCGGGAGAAUAAGCUCCGGCUAACUCCGUG